rnacentral:rRNA from 1 species
UACGUAGGUGGCAAGCGUUGUCCGGAUUUACUGGGCGUAAAGAGCGCGCAGGCGGUCGAUCAAGUCGCGUGUGAAAGCCCCCGGCUCAACUGGGGCGGGUCACGCGAUACUGAUCGACUCGAAGGCAGGAGAGGGUAGUGGAAUUCCCGGUGUAGUGGUGAAAUGCGUAGAUAUCGGGAGGAACACCAGUGGCGAAGGCGACUACCUGGCCUGUUCUUGACGCUGAGGCGCGAAAGCUAGGGGAGCAAACGGG